rnacentral:rRNA from 1 species
GACGAACGCUGGCGGCGUGCUUAACACAUGCAAGUCGAGCGGAGCGGCGAACGGGUGAGUAACGCGUGAGUAACUGCCCCCCUCUCUGGGAUAACAGUUGGAAACGGCUUCUAAUACCGGAUAGUGGGGGAUGCCUCGCGUCCUAUCAGCUUGUUGGUGGGGUAGUGGCCUACCAAGGCGACGACGGGUAGCCGGCCUGAGAGGGCGACCGGCCACAUUGGGCUGAGAGACGGCCCAAACGCCUACGGGAGGCAGCAGUGGGGAAUAUUGAACAAUGGGGGAAACCCUGAUGCAGCAACGCGCGUGAGUGAUGAAGGUCUUCGGAUCGUAAAACUCUGUUAUUAGGGAAGAAGUAACUGUGCACAUCUUGACGGUACCUAAUCAGAAAGCCACGGCUAACUACGUGCCAGCAGCCGCGGUAAUUC